UACUCGAGUGGCGAACGGGUGAGUAACGCGUGGGUGAUCUGCCCUGCACUUCGGGAUAAGCCUGGGAAACUGGGUCUAAUACCGGAUAGGAGCCAUUUUUAGUGUGAUGGUUGGAAAGUUUUUUCGGUGUAGGAUGAGCUCGCGGCCUAUCAGCUUGUUGGUGGGGUAAUGGCCUACCAAGGCGGCGACGGGUAGCUGGCCUGAGAGGGUGGACGGCCACAUUGGGACUGAGAUACGGCCCAG
rnacentral:rRNA from 1 species